GUAUAGAGAGCUUAAAGAACCGACACAUUUUGUCCUGGGGGGGGGGGGAAACAAGCCACACGAGUUAGGUUACAUUCUAAGGGGGUAAGACAGCCAUGUGGAGGAACAAAUAACUUUGAGAAAUUCUGGGGCCUGGCGCAAUGUGCUCAUAAACAGUUUUCUCCUCGUCCAGUGGGGCUCUUGCCUGGGGAUGAAUUAUGCAAUUGUUUCAUCAGAGAUCAAAAACGAAGGAAGAGUUAGACUUCAAUUUCACCUACUUUCUGAAAACAAACUGUCCACAGGGAACACUCCUUACUGAAAAGGCAUCUACUAAAAAGGCAUGUUUCAAAGAAAACAAGAUCACGGACUGAUUGAAACAGUUGAACUACGUAACGCCCAUUCGGAACAAAUGGUUUUUCAGAUCCCGAUGAGGAAGAACAAUUUGCUACAGUGCAGUCCAUUCUGCCCACACAAUAGUAACAAUUUAUUGGAAAGGGCUGAACAAAGUAAAUACACAAAAAACAGCCAGUGAUGUGUUCCGCCAGGGACCUAUCAGGAUUCUCGUGUUCCAUGUGUUAGAAUACUCUUAAUCCAAGUAUUUAUUUAUCGGAAGACUUCAGUUAAAACGACACUCUUGCUCACCCCACGUGAGUAGUCACGUACCCUUCUAUUUGCAUGUAAGCGUGUGCAGUAUGUACAAUAUGUCUAUUUGAAUAUAGCCAUAUGGACAAAAUAAGCGUUGGUAUUGUCUUAUGACCAGAGUUUUUUUCAAUGCUCUGGAGUUAGGAUAUUAGCAUGUUUUAAUACAGUGAAAUUUGGGAGCGGCCAUCAGCCAGCUGUGUGUCUGCCAGUGGUGGGCCUUGUUCUGAUACCGGCCAGGUUAGUGUAGGGAGGAUGUAAUUACUGCAAGUGCUUCGAAUCAGAAAAAAAUCGAAUCCUAUCAAAAGACACGGCUCUAAUUUAGCAUAGAGUGUAAAAUGUUCUUUUCACUAAUAUCUCUUUUUCUUACCAGGAUGAAGCUGAUUUCUAAAAGCGCAUUCACACACAUUUUCCCUUUGUGGAAAGAGAGAUUAGGGUUCCCCAAAACUUAGCCCGAGGGCACAGGGCCUGAAAUUGUUUUGAGUGCAGUAGGCCCCUCCACACAAAGCAGGCGGGGGGCCGGGGGGCCGGGGGCGGCUCCAGCCUCAGUGAGCAAAGGCUCGGAGCUGGUUUGGCUGCUUCCUGCCUCAAAUGGUCGUCUCCCAAAUCACUCACGUCUGUGAAAACUAUCAGGUUGUUCUCACAGUUUUCCAAAGACCCCUGGCCCUGGUGGUACCAUGAAGGCAGUGUGUUUGUGCAGUGAUGGGACAUUCAGCCGGGUUCCAGGGGGCUCCUGUAUCCCGGACCGGGCCUGGAGGUUCAGAAAGAAACAUUGAGGGUAUUUCACCGUCGAGGGAUUUGGGGUUGAUUUGGGGCCCAUCUUUUUCCACAGCCAGCCCCCAGUUCAGCUGAAACAACUUCUCUGUACAGCUCGGACCAGGUGGCCACGUGUGCCUGUCCCAUCUUUUCUCAUUUAGAUGAGAUGCUUCCUUUCAAUACCAUCUUUCUUCUUGACCUGCUUAAAAAUUCCAGCGAAUGAAAUCAGCCCAGGGUUUUCAAUGCUAAUUGGCCAUGUGCGGGGGGCGGGGGGGGGGCGGGGGGUGAGCUCAGUGGCAGCAUUGUGAGGCUGGCUGCUGCCGGGGUGACCCUGCCCGCUUCCCCCGCCCGCCGGCCUAAGCCUGUAGACCGCGCUUCCUUUGUAUUAAUAUUAAUAGAGCCCCGUGCAAACUGUUUGAGUUGGCUGUUUCUGCUGGGUAUGACCACAAGUAAUAAAAAAAACAAAGUCAUACGCUUCCACAGCCUCCCGACUAGAUAGUAAGCAACUCAUUGGUUCCAAGUACAUGAGCACAUUGGCAUCGUGAUCGAAUCAAGACAAAAGCCUGAUGGCGCCACAUUUAGUUUCCUUGUCACUUGAAUAAAUCACCAUUUUUGGAGUGUGUAUAAAUACACACACUUUUACAUACACCGUGAAAAUAGCCAAUACCUAAAAUUCUUGGUCCAUUAUCUGCAUAGUCAUUAUAUAAACAAAAAGUCUUUCUGACUGGGGAUUCUAUUUGGACUUGGAUUAGUAAAAAAAUGUCGGGUUGAAGGUGGUAAGCUCGGCAGCCUGGUACAUGGUCUCUGCAGUAUGACUGGGCAUGCGUGUUUUUAGCUGUUUUCUCUCCCCCAUGAGUUCUGGGAGUUCUGGACUCCAAUAAUUUCCCCCUUGUUUGUUACUGCAAAGACUCAAAAGAUGUUGCCUUUUUAAAAAUUGACCUUAAAAUCGUGAGAUGAAAACAAGGCACCUUUCUGAUAGUGAUAGUAUUUUUGCUGAUAUAAGAUAGAAGCCUGCGCUGUAUCUGCCUAUUUUAAAAACGUGUAAUAGAGAUGAGAAAAACCUUAAAGUUGGGUCGGCCCUGUGCUCCUCCCCCAGGUAACUUCCUGUCUCAGGAAAAUCGGGGCGUCAGGGGCGUCCCACCAAGGGCCUCACUGGUGGGAGUGCUCGGGACUGGGGUCGAGGACGGUUUGUCUGCAUCCGAACCACACAACAUGUGUGUGCAUUUGCCUGUGGCCUUCACAGCUGUGAACAGGCCUGUUCUCAGUCACCGCCGUGUGACGACACAGAAGUCAGUUAUUUGUGAGCCUUGUGAAGUUUACAUUUCUGACUUCAUCAUGUAUGUGUGCCUGUGUGCGUGCACACACGUGUCAAUUUAUGUUACCAAAAUAGAAGAGCUCUCCUCAUGCCAUUAAGAAUGUGUUGGUGAAUACACCUCAUAUUUAAUUCUUUCCCCACUGAUUCAUCAAUGAUAAAAAUCCACCAGAAAAAUGGAUACGUGGGAGUGAUUUAGUCUUGUUCUAAAUCACUGCCCCAAAUGCACAAAACAUUUGUCAAAGAAGUCAAAAUGUAAACAGAAAACCUAAGCGUAAUACUGAGUCUAAGGUGACUCAGUGACACAUUUUCAGCUUGGUUUUACUCCCAUAACAACAGAUUAAUUAGUGAAUCUAGCCCCGGACGUGAGAGCGGACGGUUGAUGGGGUCUUGGGGAAAAUUGCAGAAAUUGCAUUGGCAUGGCGAUUGCAGCUACGAUGCUCGCAAACAUAUAAACGGGGGAGAGCUUGGAGCCUCUCCGGGUCUUGGCUCCGUAGGAGCACAGAUCAUCUCAAACACCGAGGGGGUUUUGAUGUUUCCGUUCGUGUGGGGUCCUGGUGGGGGGGCCGCUGCAUCUCCCUGUUUAUCCGGGUUCUUUAGGUGGCGUGCAGCUGUGUGCGGUGCCUGCCCCUCCCACGCUCCUUUCCUGUCCCGUGGGACUGUCUCGAUCAGUCGGAGAUGGGGUCCGUGACACCUGCAGCCCCCUUCCCCUCCCCCAGGACACCCUGUCCGUUCCCUGGCUCCUUCUGAAGGGAUCUGCCCUGGACCAGCGCACACACCUGCUCCUGAGGCUUCCCACCCCGGACGCGGGCUCCUCCGGCCACAGCUGCCUCUGUAAGGCUUCACCUCGCCCGGCCGUGCACAAAAUGGUUCAUUCAAAGACAGCAUUUUCACCCCACAAGUGGAGGGGUGCAGAAAGCUGGUCUCUAAAGGCUCUUCCACGGACACAAGACACGCAAGCUCCACACAUCUACACGUUCACGGGAGUCCUCUCCAUCCCUCCGCUGUCCAUCUCCUCCAUUAGCCGUUCAGGUCCCCAAAUGACCUAAGAUUAACACGUCUGUUUCUUGCUGGGGAUGUUGGCAACAUCAUCGGCCCGUCCGUCAAGGAACCCGAAGGCCGAGAUCUGCAUCUCGGACGGCGGUCCCCCAGACACUGAACAGAGAGAUGGUUCCUCUCCAAAGACCAGCGGGCAGCGCCCGAGACGUGGGCUGGGCUCAGGUCCAGAAGCUGCAAUACCGGAGAACGCGCCACUUGGGACCCACCCCGUUUUGGAACCGGACACAGAAGUGUAACUUGUCACCGUGGGGAGCACUUGCAGAGGUUUGGACUCGUGAUUGGCCAGGAAUCCAUCCGCAGCUGGGAAGCUCCGCACCUGUCGCCAGGUGGGGGCUGGCGCCACGGGACCGGUCCUGAGCUCCGGGAGGUGCAGCGCUGGAGCCUUCGCCGUCCGCCGCAGGUCCAAGAUGUGCCUGCCCCCGUUUGACGCUGCCUUGGAGGGCGACCACCUGCGGAGACCAGCAUUCGGGUUCCAGAACAUCCAGCCGCAGGCGCCCCCCUGGGAAGUCUGCAGCUGCCACACCGCUCCCCAGAGAGUCAGGAGGAAGUCUAAAUUUGAAAGCAAAGGAACACAACUAUUUUUCUGGUAGACAAACCCUUGAAACACUAAAAAAAAAAAUACGGAGAGCUGAUGAAUGUUUAAGAAUGUGAUGAUACACUAGUCUCACUCUGUGCUGGGCUGAUGGCGUGUUAAUUUGAUUUAAAAUAACUUAGAGCGUAAGCUCAGGGGUGAGAAACGAUUUUGAACGGGGAUCAGCCACAGCUGUCCUGAGUCCACCCGAGUCCCCAAGGCUGUGUCGCUACAUUAAGUCAUGGGGGCUCCUGAGUUCAGGGGGUUUGAGUGACAGCACCUUUUGAGUAGAGACAUCACAUGAGUCGUCCAGAGAGCUGCCUGCCUGUCAGUCAGUGAGUGCACCUGCCAGGUAAGAAAGGGCACGGCGGCCUGCUGAACUCACUGGGACAUUACGAUGCUGCGUUUCUUUCUUUUUUUUUUUUUUUUAAGAUAUAUUUUGAGGCAAUUUGGAAAAUAACUACCUAGAUUCUAGACCUAAGUCUGUGGCAGAAUGUCCAUUGUGAAGGAUUACAUAGGGGAAACAUGAAUGGGUGUCUGUGAGGGGGAUUUUAGCACCCACAUUUUACGUAGGAGAUUGAAGAUGGGCGAGGGGACAAAACCCAGCCAGGGAGCGGUGGUCUCAUCCACGAACUUGGCCUGCUGCUUCAUCACACGGAGCUGCCCGGGAAAAGAGCACCUUUGAAACCGCUACGAAUCUCGCACACACAAACCUUCAUCCGCGUGGACCCGGGUCGCACGGCUGCACUCCAAGAAGCAAAGUUGAAAUCAGCUUGUGAUAGUAAAUCGUGGAUACACGAAGGACAGUAAGAUACACAAACACUAUUGAUGAUUCCAGGCUCUUACUAAAGGACCUUCAUGUUGGAGCUGCGGAGUUUCUUAAAAAAAAAACAAAAAACAAAAAACAACCUUCAUUAGAAUAAACUCAAGUACUGGGGGCACUAUAUAGUUUUUCAACAAACAGCACACGUAUAUUGAUGUCCAAAAACAAACACUGCAAAGAUUGCUAGAAUGUAGAUUUCCAAAUCUUUCCAGAAAAUACAAUUUCCUUUUAAAAUUGUAA